CAGAGAAUCAGGGGUUUGGUUCUCGGGAGAGGCCGCCUGAGAAACGGCGACCACUUCCAAGGAAGGCAGCAGGCGCGCCAAAAUUACCCACUACUCAAAACGAGGAGGUAGUGAAGAGAAAUAACGAUGUUAGUCUUUUAUAGGCUGACAAUCGGAAUGGGGAACACUGUAAACAGGUUAUCGAUUAACAAUUGGAGGGCAAGUCUGGUGCCAGCAGCCGCGGUAAUUCCAGCUCCAAUAAGGAAAACUAAAGUUGCUGUGUUUAAAAAGCUCGUAGUUGAAUUUCGGGGUAUUUGUUGCUAGCUGGUCUAACUGGCCAUGUUGGUUAACAGAUCCUCAUUUGCUGGACGGCUGGCGAUGAUCUUCAUCGAUUGUCGUCAGUUGCCAGCACGUUUACUUUGAGAAAAUUAGAGUGCUAAAAGCAGGCUCACGCCUAUAUAUAUUGCAUGGAAUAAUGAAAUAAGAUCUCGAUUUUAUUUCGUUGGUUUUAGAAAUUGAGAUAAUGAUUAAUAGGAUCAGAGGGG
rnacentral:rRNA from 1 species